rnacentral:rRNA from 1 species
CGGCGGACGGGUGAGUAAUGCCUAGGAAUCUGCCUGGUAGUGGGGGACAACGUUUCGAAAGGAACGCUAAUACCGCAUACGUCCUACGGGAGAAAGCAGGGGACCUUCGGGCCUUGCGCUAUCAGAUAAGCCUAGGUCGGAUUAGCUAGUUGGUGAGGUAAUGGCUCACCAAGGCGACGAUCCGUAACUGGUCUGAGAGGAUGAUCAGUCACACUGGAACUGAGACACGGUCCAGACUCCUACGGGAGGCAGCAGUC